AUGGAGGAGGAGGACAGAGGGAGCAAACUGGAAAAGGGUACCGCUCUCAGGGCCCUGAGGGCACCUGGAGGCCACCACGGACCUGACCAGAUGCUCCUGGAGCCUCCCCCCCCACCGCCCAGGCGCCCGCUUCAGCUGCAGCAGCGCCGCCCUCAGCCCAGCGCCCUCGCCCCGCCCGCUGACGGCCGGGUCCGACCCCGUUUGCCCUCGCCGGGCCUGAUCCCGGCAGCUACGGACGGACAGACCGACAGACAGGCGGACAGACCUUGGACCUGCCUCCUCCUACCCGCCACCCCCGGGCGCUGCGGGGCUCCCCCCCGACACCCGCAGCCCGGGCACGGCCGGACCCCAGCGGGGCCGGGGGCUCCCGGUCCCGGCCCCAGCCAAGGGCUCCCCGGGCACCGGCCCCCCCGGAGCGCCCGGCUGCCCUCCUACCCCUCUGUCUGCUCGGGACGGCGGAGCGAGGCCGCGGCAGGAGGACGCAGCCCGGCGGCUGGAGGCGGCGGGGCGGACCCCGGCUGCCCCGCACCGCCCCGCGGCCCGGCUGCCCCCGCCUCCUUCCCCUGCCCCGCCGCCGGCCCGGGGCGGCCGCAGCCAUUUUGGGCCCGCCUCGUUGCUGUCCCGCAGCCAUGGGCAGAGGGGGUGGCAGCUAGAAGGGGGCCUCUGGCCGUGAGCAAGGACACGUCCUGGUCAAUGAGUGACCCUUCCCAACACCACGCCCAUGGGCUUUCCUCAUGGCCAGACUCUCCCAAUAGCAGCAACCCAGCCUGCCCAGUUCCGCAGCCCUCCAAUCUCUCACCUACACAAGCAAGUAAAGCCAUUGCAGCCUCCGUCUCUUCUAUCCUGUUCUGGAGCCUGACCCAGCUCCUGCAAGCUCUGGCCUUCAGUGCCCAGGGCAGAGAGGAGCUGGUGGGGAAGCAGCCGGUGUUUUACGUGGAGCCCCACAAGCCGUCAUCUGUCUGUGUGGUGUGGCGUGGGUGCUGUUUGUCCUCCUCUGCCUUUUUGCCAUGUCCUUGGAGGGUGAGAUGUGCAGGGCUGUGGUUACCUUGGCCCACAUUGUGCAGGGGAAAUGAGAGGAGGUGCUGGGAGUUGAGAAAUGAGGUGCAGGUUUGGCUUCCCUAG
rnacentral:lncRNA from 1 species